UGGGGAAUUUUGGACAAUGGGCGAAAGCCUGAUCCAGCAAUGCCGCGUGUGUGAAGAAGGCCUUCGGGUUGUAAAGCACUUUUGUCCGGAAAGAAAUCCUUGGCUCUAAUACAGUCGGGGGAUGACGGUACCGGAAGAAUAAGCACCGGCUAACUACGUGCCAGCAGCCGCGGUAAUACGUAGGGUGCAAGCGUUAAUCGGAGUUACUGGGCGUAAAGCGUGCGCAGGCGGUUUGCUAAGACCGAUGUGAAAUCCCCGGGCUCAACCUGGGAACUGCAUUUGGUGACUGGCAGGCUAGAGUAUGGCAGAGGGGGGUAGAAUUCCACGUGUAGCAGUGAAAUGCGUAGAGAUGUGGAGGAAUACCGAUGGCGAAGGCAGCCCCCUGGGCCAAUACUGACGCUCAUGCACGAAAGCGUGGGGAGCAAACAGGAUUAGAUACCCUGGUAGUCCACGCCCUAAACGAUGUCAACUAGUUGUUGGGGGAUUCAUUUCCUUAGUAACGUAGCUAACGCGUGAAGUUGACCGCCUGGGGGAGUACGGUCGCAAGAUUAAAACUCAAAGGAAUUG
rnacentral:rRNA from 1 species